rnacentral:rRNA from 1 species
UACGUAGGGAGCAAGCGUUGUCCGGAUUUAUUGGGCGUAAAGAGCUCGUAGGCGGUGUGUCGCGUCGGCCGUGAAAACCUGGGGCUUAACUCUGGGCGUGCGGUCGAUACGGGCAUCACUGGAGUUCGGCAGGGGAGACUGGAAUUCCUGGUGUAGCGGUGAAAUGCGCAGAUAUCAGGAGGAACACCGGUGGCGAAGGCGGGUCUCUGGGCCGAUACUGACGCUGAGGAGCGAAAGCAUGGGUAGCGAACAGG